UCUCGAUUGGUCUAGUGGUCAGGAUACCUGCUUGUCAUUGUCAUUGAAACGAUCUAGAUCUCACGAUAGUGGGACACAUCAUUCACGACAACAAGCCGCAGGUGGCCGGGGUUCGAUUCCCCGAUCGAGAG
rnacentral:tRNA from 1 species